CCUACGGGCGGCAGCAGUGAGGAAUAUUGGUCAAUGGACGAGAGUCUGAACCAGCCAAGUAGCGUGAAGGAUGACUGCCCUAUGGGUUGUAAACUUCUUUUAUAUGGGAAUAAAAUGUUCCACGUGUGGGAUUUUGUAUGUACCAUAUGAAUAAGGAUCGGCUAACUCCGUGCCAGCAGCCGCGGUAAUACGGAGGAUCCGAGCGUUAUCCGGAUUUAUUGGGUUUAAAGGGAGCGUAGGUUGAUUGUUAAGUCAGUUGUGAAAGUUUGCGGCUCAACCGUAAAAUUGCAGUUGAAACUGGCAGUCUUGAGUACAGUAGAGGUGGGCGGAAUUCGUGGUGUAGCGGUGAAAUGCUUAGAUAUCACGAAGAACUCCGAUUGCGAAGGCAGUUCACUGGACUGCAACUGACACUGAGGCUCGAAAGUGUGGGUAUCAAACAGGAUUAGAUACCCCUGUAGUC
rnacentral:rRNA from 1 species